rnacentral:tRNA from 1 species
GGGCGCUUGGCUUAGUGGUAAAGCGCUCCCUUAGCAUGUUUCGAGCUAUCUCGAGCAUUUGUAUGGGAGAGGUCCAGGGUUCGAUUCCCUGAGUGUCCA